rnacentral:rRNA from 1 species
CGAACGGGUGAGUAAUGCGUGACCAACCUGCCCCAUGCUCCAGAAUAGCUCUUGGAAACGGGUGGUAAUGCUGGAUGCUCCAACUUGACGCAUGUCUUGUUGGGAAAGUGUUUAGUGGCAUGGGAUGGGGUCGCGUCCUAUCAGCUUGUAGGCGGGGUAAUGGCCCACCUAGGCUUCGACGGGUAGCCGGCCUGAGAGGGCGGACGGCCACAUUGGGACUGAGAUACGGACCAGACUCCUACGGGAGGCAGCAGAA